rnacentral:rRNA from 1 species
UGAAUUGACGGGGGCCCGCACAAGCGGAGGAACAUGUGGUUUAAUUCGAUGAUACGCGAGGAACCUUACCUGGGCUAGAACGCAAUCGGAAUCAGGCCGAAAGGUCUGCGCCAGCGAUGGCCGGUUGCGAGGUGCUGCAUGGUUGUCGUCAGCUCGUGCCGUGAGGUGUCGGGUUAAGUCCCAUAACGAGCGCAACCCCUAUCAUUUAGUUGCCAUCAGGUCAAGCUGGGGACUCUAAUGAAACUGCCUACGCAAGUAGUGAGGAAGGUGGGGAUGACGUCAAAUCAGCACGGCCCUUACGUCCAGGGCUACACACGUGCUACAAUGGCCGGUACAGCGGGAAGCGAGGCAGUGAUGCCGAGCGGAUCCCUUAAAGCCGGUCUCAGUUCGGAUUGAAGUCUGCAACUCGACUUCAUGAAGCUGGAAUCGCUAGUAAUCGCAGAUCAGCCAAGCUGCGGUGAAUACGUUCCCGGGCCUU